UAAAAACUUAAAGCACACAAAACACUUUAAUUAAAAAGACGCUGCUUUGUAAAAAUAUCCUUCGUCUCUAUCGAAGUUGUAAAACCCUAAAUCCCCAAAUCUCAAAACCUCACUAUGCAUUUCUCACUCGGCUGUAUCCACGCCCUUCAAGUAUUGUACUUUCAAGAAUGUUCAGCAAUGUGAUGUUCAACUUUCAACUUCGCCCAACUUGGGAGAAUGGACAUUAACUUGAGGCACAUACAAGUUCGGUUUGAAGACAAGUCAAGAUGAGGGGUUCACAGGCCUAGCUGACAAGUUGAUAAUCAUUUUUUCUAGGAUUGUUAAAAAAAUUAUAUUGUUUGGAAGUGGAUUCAGCUAUUUUAUUAAAAAAUUGUGUAAACAGUACAAGAAUUUGAAUAAUAUUGUGAGAUUCUGUGCGCCUAAUGGAAUGUGAAUCCUUUUUUUUUU